GGGGGCUCAAGAGACAGGUUCAUCUGUUCAGCUAACUUGAUUGCCUUUUGUGACAAGGUUACCCACGUUGCUGGCCAAGGGAAGCCAGUUGAUGUCAUCUUUGUGGACUGCAGCAAAGGUUUUCAUGCUAUUCCUCAUAGCAUGCUUCUGGACACAACGCCCAGCAUCCAGCUCCAUGAACACACAGUCCAGAGGGUGAACCAUUGGCUGACAGCUUCCUGUUCCAGGACUUCUCCACUCCUCAGAGAUGUGAAUGCCCCUGGAGGUGCUCAGGGCCAGGCUGGAUGAGGUCCUGCACAACCCGAUCCAGUGCCUGAGUGAGUGGUUGGCAAUCCUGCCUGUGGAAGGUGGGUUGGAACUAUUUGAUCUUGGAGGAGCCUUCCAACCCAAGCCAUUGCACAGCUCCACACACCUCUCUUCAAGAGUCCCCUCCCUCUUCUUACCAUGCUCUACCUCUCCACCUCUCCCUUUGCCAAAGAGUGUUCCUACAUCUCCUUUUGUCUCCACCAUGGGAACAUUUCUCCUACAGCAGAGCAGACACACAGGAACAUCCUCAGCACCACAGCUCUGUGCUACAAGUCAUGAGAGCCCAGCUGUGCAAAAGGCAGCGAUGCCUACAGAGGAUGGGAGGGAUGGAUGGGAUGUGCUUGUGCACCGGACAGAACCUGCGCGUGCAUUUUCGAGCAGCACGUAGGAAUGGGUGCUGAUCUUUCAUUUCUUUAUCCUUCCAACUCUGUAGGCUGCGAGCAGCAACGUUUGCCUUGGCAGCUUGCUCUCCCUCUGCCUCUUCAGGGUGUGUACUUCGUAGGGCUGCUGCCUUGCCUUGCUGUUACUUCUCAGCCCCUCGAGCCAAAUCUUGGUCAGAAUGAGCAUUUGCCUUCACCUCUGCAGUGAAUGGGCACUUGUGCUGCUGCCUGCCCAGGGGCUGCUCAGCCUGGUGCCUUUGCAUCGCUGCCAUUUCACUGACACAGCCUCGCGUGUUCUCUGUGCUGCUACCUUCUACUGACAGAGCUGUGUGGCUCCCUGGUGAACCUGCUCAGAUUGCACCUGGAAAGAAAACAUCCCCCCCUGCUCUGCCCAAGGGUUCAAACCACGACGACCACUUCAAACAAGUGGAGCCCAACAUCAGCCCGCAGCCAACGCUCAGAGCCCACACUGCACCCCCAGCACCAACCCCAGUGCUGCCAGCUGCAAUGCCCUGUCCUGUUCACGCAGAGAAACCAUUUCACACACUCUGCCCCACGUUGGCUUCACACAGCUGCUUGGGCAAAAGAGAAGGGGAGAAUGAGAUGCUCGGACCUCCCCACCAGCCCCUCUCAGACACCUGUGCUCCCUCAGACCACCACGUGCUGUGGAUCCUGAGGCAGCCCACGUCCUGGCAGCACAGGCACAGCCUGCCCACGGGGAUGCUCUCCACUCACUGCUGUGUCUCUGCAUUAAUCCUGAUGCCCAGCCAUGUGAGUUACUGCUGCUGCAUCUCAACCUCUGGUGCAUUCCCGGUCUCUGUCUGCUCUAGUGCUGCUGCUGCCCGUAAUUUUCCAUUCCCGUGGCCCUGCAUUCCCAGUCCUUCGCUGCAUCCAUGAGCUCCUUCCCUGCAUUUCAGUGCCCCCACUGCUGCUCUCACACUGCCCAUAUUCCCAGCUUGGAUCAAUACCAAUUUCUGCCACUUACUCGCCUACCUUUCAGCAAGCCCUUCUUUGUUCUGCAUAG
rnacentral:lncRNA from 1 species